UGCGGAGGGAGCUAGCGUUGUUCGGAAUUACUGGGCGUAAAGGGCGCGCAGGCGGCUUUGUUUGUCAGGCGUGAAAGCCCCGGGCUUAACCUGGGAACUGCAUUUGGGACUGCAAGGCUGGAGUACGGCAGAGGGAGGUGGAAUUCCACGUGUAGCAGUGAAAUGCGUAGAGAUGUGGAGGAACACCGAUGGCGAAGGCGGGGUCUCUGGGCAGGUAACUGACGCUGAGGAGCGAAAGCGUGGGGAGCGAACAGG
rnacentral:rRNA from 1 species